UGCUAUGCAAUCAGAGGAUGAUUUCAGGACUUACAGCAGCUGGAGGGCUAGACGACACCAAGUAUCUGUCUGAUAUCAUUUUAAUAACGGGAGCUGGGAAAAAAGCCUUCUUGUCUAACUAUCCUCUGGGAGAGGAACUAGAAGUGGUGAUGUCUUCCUAUGAUACAGAAAUCUUAAUGGCUUCUCACUGGGAAAGGGAAUUUCCACAAGGAGUUUUCAGUUUGGUGCCUCUGUCUCUGGGGUUCUCUUCCUGUUGGGAUUAUGCCACAUACCGGUUUUCAGUAUUUGCUUAAGAUGUGGCUGCUGAUGAGUCAGAGGAGAGGAAAGAGACUCCAAAAUGUGAGGUGAGAAAACAAGACCAAAUGACUUAAUAUGACUGGAUACUGCCGACCAGCGUUAGAGGUGAAACACCAUCUAAAGCUGCGACUUUUUGAUAGAAGGUCCCAUUUUGAAUCUGCUGAACCAGAGCUUCUGAGGUCAGCACCUGUGAGUCCUGGUCUUAUAGAGCUUCUGGG